rnacentral:rRNA from 2 species
AUCAACUGGCUACUGUGCCAGCUGGUGGAUAGCUCGGCUCGAGAGCCGAUGACGGACGUGCCAAGCUGCGAUAAGCCUCAGGGACCCGCAUGGAGGGAAAGAACUGAGGAUCUCCGAAUGGGAAUCCCCACGCAAUUGCCUCGCGCAAUGGGGAACGUUCCGAAUUGAAACAUCUUAGUAGGAACAGGAAAAGAAAGCAAUCCGCGAUGUCGUUAGUAACGGCGAGUAAACGCGACACAGUCCAAACCGAAGCCUUCGGGCAAUGUGGUGUACGGACUACCCAUAACGGACCUGGGUCUUAUGUGAAGUCUCCUGGAACGGAGCGUGAUACAGGGUGAAAACCCCGUAACAUAAGAACCAGAUCCCGGGGUUGUUCCAGAAUAGCGGGGGUUGGAUAUCCCUCGUGAAUUUCGCAGGCAUCAACUGCGAAGACUAAACACUCCUCGAGACCGAUAGCGAACAAGUAGCGUGAGCGAACGCUGAAAAGCACCCCGAACAGGGCGGUGCAAUAGGGCUUGAAAUCAGUUGGCGAUAGAGCGACGUGGCAUACAAGGUCACUCGACGAAAGAACUGGGAGCGAUCCCGUAGUAUGACUCGAGUGAAGCCGAUGUUACGUCGUACGUUUUGAAAAACGAACCAUGGAGUGCAUCUGACUGGCGAGUCUAAGGGGUGAACCCCCGGAGGCAUAGGGAAACCGAUACGGCCGCAGUCUUUGACCAGGGCCACCGUCUUCAAGGGCGGGGAGCCAACCGGAUGCGACCCGAAACCAAGUGAUCUACGCCGGAGCAGGGCGAAGCGUGGCGAAAGCUGCGUGGAGGCCCGUUAGAGUUGGUGUCCUACAAUACCCUCUCGUGACUCUGGUGUAGGGGUGAAAGGCCCAUCGAACUUGGCAACAGCUGGUUCCAACCGAAACAUGUCGAAGCAUGACCUCUGAUGAGAUAGUUCGUGAGGUAGAGCGACCGAUUGGGAAUCCGGACUCCGAGAGGAGUUCGCUUCCCUGUCAAACUCCGAACUUACGAACGUCGUAGACUCAGGGAGUCCGGUGUGCGGGGUAAGCUUGUGCACCGUGAGGGAGACAACCCAGAGCCAGGUUAAGGACCCAAAGUGUGGAUUAAGUGUGAUUGAAGAUUGUCUCGAGCCCUAAACAGCCGGGAGGUGAGCUUAGAAGCAGCUACCCUCUAAGAAUAGCGUAACAGCUUACCGGCCGAGGUUCGAGGCGUCGAAAAUGAUCGGGACUCAAAUCCACCUCCGAGACCUGGCGGCGUGUCUUAUGACACGAUUCCGUAGGUUGGCAUACUGCAUGGGUGGAAGCACGGGUGAGAACUCGUGUGGACCGUGCAGCAACGAAAAUCAUGGUCUCAGUAGCAGCGAGAGUCGGGUGUGAACCCCGACGGCCUUACGCGCAAGGGUUCCUCGGCACUGUCAAUCAGCCGAGGGUUAGUCGAUCCUAAGUCUAACCGUAAUUCGAAUUAGAUGAAAGGGAAACUGGUUAAUAUUCCAGUACCUUCUUGCACCAAACGUCGACGCUUUAGGAAACACCGAGCGGGGCCUUCGCCCCGUCGAAUCACCGAAAUUCGUGGAAGCCGUAACGGCACGAAGCGAACGAACGGUGAGAUAGGGAAACUCGGCGGUACCUAGAGCCCGUGAAAAGACAAGCAAGAAGCUCGUACCGAGAUCCGACACAGGUGCGCUGGCAGAGCAAGCCAAGGCCUGUCGGGAUCAACCGACGUUAGGGAAUUCGGCAAGUUAGUCCCGUAAGUUCGCGAUAAGGGAUGCCUGCUCUUGACCGAGCAGGUCGCAGUGACUCGGACGCUCCGACUGUCUAGUAACAACAUAGGUGACCGCAAAUCCGCAAGGACUCGUACGGUCACUGAAUCCUGCCCAGUGCGGGUAUCUGAACACCCAUUACAAUGGGACGAAGGACCCGUCAACGGCGGGGGUAACUAUGACCCUCUUAAGGUAGCGUAGUACCUUGCCGCUUCAGUAGCGGCUUGCAUGAAUGGAUCAACGAGAGCGUCACUGUCCCAACGUUGGGCCCGGUGAACAGUACGUUCCAGUGCGGAGUCUGGAGACCCCCAAGGGGAAGCGAAGACCCUAUAGAGCUUUACUGCAGGCUGUCGCUGAGACGUGGUCGCUAAUGUGCAGCAUAGGUAGGAGCCAUUACACAGGUACCCGCGCCAGCGGGCCACCGAGGCAGCAUUGAAAUACUACCCGUUAGUGACUGCGACUCUCACUCCUGGCGGAGGACACCGGUAGCCGGGCAGUUUGACUGGGGCGGUACGCGCUCGAAAAGAUAUCGAGCGCGCCCAAAGAUUUCCUCACGCGAGUCGGGAACUCGUGGAAGAGCGCAAGAGCAAACGGAAGUCUGACAGUGACAUUCCCAACGAGUGUCGCUGACGCGAAAGCGUGGUCUAGCGAACCUACGAGGUUCAUUCAUGGGACCCGUAGAUGACAGAAAAGCUACCUUAGGGAUAACAGAGUCGUCACCGGCAAGAGCACAUAUCGACCCGGUGGCUUGCUACCUCGAUGUCGGUUCCCUCCAUCCUGCCUGUGCAGAAGCAGGCAAGGGUGAGGUUGUUCGCCUAUUAAAGGAGGUCGUGAGCUGGGUUUAGACCGUCGUGAGACAGGUCGGCUGCUAUCUAUUGGGGGUGUUAAGGAACUUGACGUGAACGUUCGUAUAGUACGAGAGGAACUACGAAUGGGUGCCACUGGUGUACCGGUUGUCCGAGAGGGCAGAUGCCGGGCAGCUACGCACCACGGGGUAAGAGCUGAACGCAUCUAAGCUCGAAACCCACACGGAAAAGAAGUUCCACUGAGGACACUCGUAGAAGACGAGUUCGAUAGACUCGGGGUGUACGCAACGAGGUAACGAGUUGUUAAGCCCGCGAGCACUAACAGUCCAAGCCACAUUCAUA